rnacentral:misc_RNA from 1 species
GAAAUGCGAUAAGUAAUGUGAAUUGCAGAAUUCAGUGAAUCAUCGAAUCUUUGAACGCACAUUGCGCCCGCCAGUAUUCUGGCGGGCAUGCCUGUUCGAGCGUCAUUACAACCCUCAGGCCCCCGGGCCUGGCGUUGGGGAUCGGCGGAAGCCCCCUGCGGGCACAACGCCGUCCCCCAAAUACAGUGGCGGUCCCGCCGCAGCUUCCAUUGCGUAGUAGCUAACACCUCGCAACCUGAGAGCGGCGCGGCCACGCCGUAAAACACCCAACUUCUGAAUGUUGACCUCGAAUCAGGUAGGAAUACCCGCUGAACUUAAGC